CCUACGGGAGGCAGCAGUGAGGAAUAUUGGUCAAUGGAGGUAACGCUGAACCAGCCAAGUAGCGUGCGGGAUGACUGCCCUAUGGGUUGUAAACCUCUUUUAUGCGGGGAUAAACUGAUCCACGUGUGGCUUUUUGCAGGUACCGCAUGAAUAAGGACCGGCUAAUUCCGUGCCAGCAGCCGCGGUAAUACGGAAGGUCCGGGCGUUAUCCGGAUUUAUUGGGUUUAAAGGGAGCGUAGGCCGCCCCUUAAGCGUGUUGUGAAAUUUUGUGGCUCAACCGUGGGACUGCGGCGCGAACUGGAAGACUUGAGUGUGUUGGAGGCAGGCGGAAUGCGUGGUGUAGCGGUGAAAUGCAUAGAUAUCACGCAGAACCCCGAUUGCGAAGGCAGCUUGC
rnacentral:rRNA from 1 species